rnacentral:tRNA from 1 species
GUCGGGAUAGCUCAGUGGAGAGC